rnacentral:rRNA from 1 species
GACGAACGCUGGCGGCGUGCUUAACACAUGCAAGUCGAGCGGAAAGGCCCUUUCGGGGGUACUCGAGCGGCGAACGGGUGAGUAACACGUGAGUAAUCUGCCCUUCACUUGGGGAUAACGUCCAGAAAUGGGUGCUAAUACCCGGUAUUCCUAGCUUGCCGCAUGGUGGGUUGGGGAAAGGUUUUUCUGGUGGGGGAUGUGCUCGCGGCCUAUCAGCUUGUUGGUGGGGUAAUGGCCUACCAAGGCUUUGACGGGUAGCCGGCCUGAGAGGGUGACCGGCCACACUGGGACUGAGACACGGCCCAGACUCCUACGGGAGGCAGCAGCGGGGAAUAUUGGACAAUGGGCGGAAGCCUGAUCCAGCAACGCCGCGUGAGGGAUGACGGCCUUCGGGUUGUAAACCUCUUUCACCAUUGACGAAGCUGCAUCUUUUUGGGUGUGGUGACGGUAGGUGGGGAAGGAGCACCGGCCAACUACGUGCCAGCCGCCGCGGUAAUAC